UACGUAGGGUGCAAGCGUUAAUCGGAAUUACUGGGCGUAAAGCGUGCGCAGGCGGUUGUGCAAGACCGAUGUGAAAUCCCCGGGCUUAACCUGGGAAUGGCAUUGGUGACUGCACGGCUAGAGUGUGUCAGAGGGGGGCAGAAUUCCACGUGUAGCAGUGAAAUGCGUAGAGAUGUGGAGGAAUACCGAUGGCGAAGGCAGCCCCCUGGGAUAACACUGACGCUCAUGCACGAAAGCGUGGGGAGCAAACAGG
rnacentral:rRNA from 1 species